ACGAAAGAAGGAAGUUGGUUACGAAAACGUGACCGAACCUCAAAUCUGUGAUAAAAUUUACCGGUUUAAAGUAACGAAGACUUUAAUAACUUUUAAUAAGACCACGAGGAAACUGAUGCCGAUAUUUUAAAGGUCUAAAUUUGGUCAAAACUUGAUUAAAGAGUAUUUUACUGUUUUGUUUACACUCUGUGGAAUCAGUAAUGCCAAAGGAAACAAAGUUGAUCAUAUAUUGACUCUUGAUCCACUUCUUUAAACCCGAAUCGGAACAAUAACAGCGGACUGCAGAUAUUAACUGAUCCAGUGGAACAUUAGCGUUCAGGUUCCGUCAGGUUCGGGACCAGGUUUCAGGAAGAGGGUCUGUCUUCACGUGUCUUAGUGGAUAUAAAUGGACCUCCUGUGGGCACAUCGGAAGCAGAACCAUCUGUGUGAUCCAGGAUUAAAACGGGACAUGGACCCUUGGAUACCAGGACUGAGGUCAGUAAAAAUGUUCGGAUUUAACCUCCAUGUUUGACUCACCUGUGAUACACCUACUGUGAUCAUGUUGGGCUCGUGCUCGGAGGUGUGUACAGGUGUGAGUGACAUGACCCAAUCGGCUGAGAUGAGAGUUGAAACUUUCACUGUUGUAUCGUUUUUUAUUCUCCGUGUUUGUAAGAAGUCGUGACUCAAAGGUGAGAGUAAAAAUCACCUUCAACAGGUCGUUGUUGUUUCUUUAAAGUCUCACCUGAUUCCUGACAGGAAAACAUGAAAAUAUUUAGACUUUACUGUGAAUACAUAUAAUGAGUUUAAUGUUUAUUUAACUUCUAAGUUUACACGAGGACCGUUGCUAUGGAAACGCCACUUUCAUAAACUCUGAGGGACUGUUGCUUCUUUCUGACUGAGUUUCAGUUCAUUUUUAAUACAACACUGCCACCUGCUGGUCACUGAUGGAGGUUUGGAAACCCACAGACUAGUCUGAAAUCCUGUGAAACACAUUAUUAAAUCACCAGAGACAGUUUUUAUUCUGAUAGAUGAUUUCUGUGUAUGAACAUAUAUUUUUAGUUUUAUAUUGUCUCAUUCAUAAAUAUCUUUACAGAUUAUUCGUAAUUGUUUUUUGCUGCAGUUUUCUCCUCAGUCUUUAGAAAUAUUCUCAAUGACAAGUUUUUAAUCACACCUCAUCUUUCCCAGAACUUUAAUUUUAUAUGUUUUAUUUUAAAUCUGAUUUUUAAUCCACAAAGUUUCUUCUUGUGUCACUUUAUAAAUGAAAUACUGAAUCUGUUGGACUCUGAUGAGACAGGCACCAAUAUCCAUACUUCAGUAAGUAAGUAAACUUGAUUUUUAUAGCACUUUUCACAGACAAAGUGCUUCACAUAGACAAGAAUAAAAAUGUACAUACAAAUUAAAAGGCAGAGACAACAACAUUAAACAGUCAUAGCAGCUCCAAAAACAAUUAAACAAAGGCCUGAGCAAAUAAAUCAGUUUUGAGUUGGCUUUUAAAGGAGUCAACUUCAUUCAUUAUAUUGUAGGGACAUCAAUAAUUAUAAUAUUACUAAAAAUAAAAAAAAUAUGUGUAAUAAUAAUGAUAAAAAUAAUAAAGAGUGUAAGUGUCUUAAAAAUUAAAAGUAAAUCACUGCAAAUUAAAAAUAUAGAUGCAGAAAUAUACAACAAUGAAACCUGCUUAUUUAUUUUCAGUUAUUUGAUAUUUUUUUUCCUCUUCAUAAAUGUAUUUAUUGACUCUUCAAUAAAUACUCAGUAAUAAAUUAACUGUAUUAGAAAUGUUCUCAUAACAUCUUUUUUCUUUACAAUAUUUUUUGCGUACUUUAAUCUUUUUUUUUCCUUUUUCAGACAAAUUAUGUGAGACAACAGACAAUUAAAUUUCCCUUUGGGGAUUAAUAAAGUUAUUCUUAUUCUUAUUCUUAUUUAGUAAAAUAUUUAAUAUGCAACAAAAAACAAAUGCUCUUUAAAAUUAAAAAUAAACGCAAGAAAUAAGAAAAUGAGCACGCACUAAAUUAUAAAUGAUAGAUUAUUAUUACAGCUGAGACAUUUUAAUGUUAGCUCUGUGGCUGCAGUUCGUCUUUCAGCCACCAGGUGUCGUCUGUGAGUCAGUUCCUCUUCCACUCUCCUGCGAAAAACUUCUCGACAUAUAAAAAUGUUCACAGUCGGACUUUCAGCUGCUACAGUUCUCUAAACUAAGACCAGAACUUCUCAGUGAAGUCUCUGUGUUUUAUUUAUUUGAGUUUUCUGUCUGAAUGUUGAACUCUGAUGUAGUUUUAAGAGUUUCAGAGGAUCACUGAUAUUCAGGAGUGUGUGAGGCGUUCACCCCUCAGGGUGGAUCAGCAGCACAUUUCAGACUAACAGAACAGGCUUUGAAUUACAUAUUGAUUAAUUUAUUAUUAUUAAUAAUUAUUGAUAAUUGAAACAUUGAAUUUAUUGAAUAACCGUGAAAAAUAUCUGUUAUUCUGUUAUCUUUAAAGUGAGUGAAGCAGUUACAUGAGUAAAAGUAUGAUUCAAAUGUAUAACUGUAUUUUUCUUCAGUCACAUUAUUUAACAUUUAUGUCACAUUUAAAACCCACUAUAUUAAAGUCCAUGUAACCUAAAUUUAUAUUAUUAUUAAACAGUCACGUCUCAGACUCAUUAGAAUUUAUUUUGGACUUACUUUUGUUAGACUUUUUAAAAGUCACCCUGUAGAAAUUUUCUGAUUUAUUAUUUUUUUUCUGCUUUCUUCAUUAGUACACGUCCAAUUUUCAUUUUUUUAUUUUGGCUAAUCAGUGCGACAAACUCAGCUGCAUAUGUGUGAUAUUUGAGUUUUGUUAUUACACUUGAACUUUGACAGUUUUUAAUCAACAAAAAUGUGCAUUAAAUGUCAUUUAUUUUCCAGAAACAGAGGUGGAACCACAAAAUCUAAUACAAGUUUGCAGCGUGCUCACAAGAAUUAAAGUAGGAAUCUGAAGAGUAGGAAAAUAAAACAACUCAUGAAUCCAAAACAAUUUGAUUUUUUGAAUUUAAGAAAAUUAAAAAUUAAUUCACAAAAUUUCUAGAGACAGAAAAUCAGGCUCUGAGUGAAAAUAUGAGCUUAUUGUUGUUUUUUUUUUCAAAGAUAAAAUAUGUUUUUCAAGGAUUAACUGAAGAUCAUUGUAGUUGUAUUUUUCACCAGCAGAGGGCGCAGCGGUGCAGAGUCCAUCUGAAGUUAAAGAACAUGGGGUAGAGUACAGUAAACUGAUUUAUAACUCAUGUUUUACGUUUUUUCAGAUCUAUUAUUCAUUAUUUUAUAAAGGCAUAAUUAUUUUAAUAUUUAAUCUGAGUGUUUAAAAAUGAACUUUGUUUAACUCUGUCGUAAAUUUCUUCAUGUCUUUUUCUAUUUCUUCAGUGUUUAAAAUACAGGUUAACUUUUGGCAGUUCACUUCAAUUGAUGAACAUAAAGGGGGCUAAAAUUGGGUCUUAUAAUCUGUAUAAUAAUAUUUUGAUAUGCUAUAAACUAGACUCCUUACUUUUCUGUAGUUAUUAAGAUAAUUUUCCUGUCUUUUCUUUGCUUUUGUUCUCUUUUAUUUCUUUGCUUCUGUUUUUUUAUUUCUGAAAAUUUGACAGUUUUAAGAUUUAUUUUUUUAUUUUGUUUUAUGCUUAAAAACAAAAUUUAAAAUAACGUCAAAAAAACAAACAAAUAACAAAAAAUAACUUUGAGUGAGUUUUUAACAAUCCAACUCAAAUAAAUAGAUAAAGUUAAAGUCUGACAAACCAUGAAACACACACUAGCGCGCACACACACACACACACACACACACACACACACACACACACACACACACACACACACACACAGAGUAAGCUGUAAUCCGUCUCACAGAGGUGAACAUUUAGGAUCUGUGACGGUGUGAUCAAUAAUUAUGAUCAGUCUGAGUGACACGACCUUGCAUGUGCAUCAUUACACACACCUCUUAAUGUGUGUGUGUAACAGAGGUGCUGUUAAUAUUGACUUGUGUAAUUGUGUGUAUUAUUCUCAGUGAGUCUCUAUAAUCACCUAAACUGAGGAAUUAUGGGACUUUUGACUUAAACCCUCAUUCCUGGGAGAUUUUCUCUGGUUAUAUAAACGAGUUCGGUCACUUAGACUUUACUUUAUCUCCACCGAUGAGAUUUAAACAAUAAUUAGUUUCAGAUGGAAUUAAAAAUGAGUCAGUUAUCUUUGAGGCGUCACAGACUUUCCUUUUUUAAGGAUCUGUAAUAAAAACUCAACAUUUUAAAACUUAAAGCCAGCGCAGCAGAGGCGAAUCCAAGAGGUGGUCAUGGCCCUUAAAGUCUAAUCGGCCCCCCUGAUGGAAACUCCAAAACCCUAAACUACAGUAUCUGUCUGGCCAUGUCAGAGGUCAGACUCAUGUUUAAGGGAUAGCAGCCGCUUGUUUGUAGCAAGACCUCAGGCCAGUCCGUUACAGACUACAGUGGGGUGACACAGCUCAAGGAAGAACAUUUAUGAUCAUUUCCUGGAAGUAAUAAUCAACAUAUCAAUCAAUUUUCACUGCAGACGCGGUAGUUCUUCUGCCUUAGCGUCUCGGUCUGAUUGUAUUUCCAUGAAGAAAUUAUCAGAAAUGUUCCUCCUUGAGCUGCAGCACCCCGCUGUAGUCCGUAAAGGACUGGCCUGAAGUCUCGCUACAAACAUCGGCUGCUGGAAGAGAGUAGGUGAGUUGUGUUUAGUCUCUUUGCUAAAGAAAUGAGUCAAAGUUAAAAAUUUGUUUGGUGUCUAGUACUAUGGCUGUGACCCUAUAUGUACUAACCUCAGUAGAUCAUGGUGUAGUUCCGUUCAGUAAGAGAACCUCAUUGGAAAAUUAGCUGAUUUAACUUUACUGUGCUCUUGUUCAAAUAUACUAACUGGACAGCACAUAUAUCUAUACCUGUUAACAAAAUCCAGAUUUUAUUGAUAAAUCGGCUCAAUAAAAACACCUUUACCUUUUCAUUUUACUACAGCAACAUUCAUCUCUGGAGUGGGUGUCUAACUCAGGUGUGUUUGACCCUAACUUAAUUUUACGCCGGAAUAUCCCUUUAACAGCACUGAUGGCCUUAGUCUCUCUGUCCGACGACCUUGGUUGAAAAUUAAAGACAAAACAAAGAUCCAAUAACUGCAGUUCCUUGAGUGUCCACUAGAGGCUGACUCCUAAAAUGAGUGACCUCCCAUAGAGCUCCAUGUUAAAAUGUUUACAGCCUGGUAUAAAAGUUAUUCUGGUUACUUCUGCUCAUGACAGCUGUUAAUAAAGUAUGAUGUAACAUAAUCAGGGGUGUGGCCUCUUAGAGUGACAGGUGGGAGCUGCUACAUGUCAUCUCAGCUGAUUGAGUCAGUCUGUGGGUGUGUCAGUGGAGUUUUUUCCACAUAAAUAUAUCUAACAGUCCAGUUUCAGCUCUCUGUGAAAUCCUCGCUUCAUUUCUUAUUUUUAUGUCGUUGCUAAUUAGCAGCUUUCUGUGUCUGAGCUCACUGCCGCUGACCUGAGUCUGAUUUAUCUCAAAGUCUGUUUUUCACCAGGUCAGGCUGAAAGGUAGAAACAUGAAACGGUUUAAAGGGUGAGGAUGAAGAGAGGGACGGUACAGUGUGGGGGGAGGAAGGUUUUAAGAGGGUGAUGGAGGGAUGAGACGCAGAGAGAGAGAGAGAGAUUUUCAUCUGUAGCAGAGAGGGCUCCUCAUUUUUCCUCCCGACCUUACAGUGACCUGACAUGGAUGGAGAGAAAAGGAGAGAGAGAGAGAGAGAGAGAGAGAGAGAGAGAUCAGGGUAGUUAUUGUUUGUCAUUUUUCCUCCCCAAUUUCCAGCCUAAUGAAGACACUCAUUGGCUGAAGAGGAAUCAGAGGGAGAAGGUGUGUGUGUGUGUGUGUGUGUUCGUCCUACACAGGUUACCAUGACAACACAUGUGAUGUCAUGUGUUAGCCUUGGGUAGAAGGUGACUGUGUUUGUGUGUACGUUCAUACUGCUGCACGUGUGUGAGCCAAAGUUUCUGAUUCGACCUUUUUAUCCGAUUUAUCUUCGACUGAAAUCUCCCAGAUUAAAAUAUAAUCCUGCUGAUUACAUAAGAUUCAACACUAUAAGACACAAUAGCAGCAUAAUGACAGUGUGAGAGUAAAGAAUAGGAAAUAACCAUGAAGUCGUGUUUACUAAGUUUAGAUAACAAGACAAAACACUGCGAUACAAAACGACAGGAGUGUAAUUAGAAAAGAUCAAACAGAAUAUAAGACAGUCAUGUGACACACGACUGUUCAACACAACAACAUGAUAGGGAAUAUGGUGUAAUUAUUACUGUAUGAUAUGAUACUUUACAGUGUGAUAUAAUUGGUUAAAUAUGAUAUGAUUGAAUCCAAUAUGAUACUAUAAGAUACAAGACGAGACAGUAUGAUAUUUGAUGUGAUUGGAUACAAAGCUACAUGAUAUCAACAAUAGGAUACAAGACUAAACUAUGCAUUAAGAUAUGAUGUGAAAUGAUACGACACAGUAUUGUUCAGUGAUAUAAUAGCUUGAUGAAGUUCAACAUAAUAUCAGUUAAUAGAUGAACAUGUAAUUUUACUCACUAAGACCUGACUCUGACUCUUCAUGAUGAUAUCAGCUGUUUGCCUCAUUGACUUCCAUUAAUCUCCAUGUUAUUGAUUUAGGUACAGUUAAAUAUUACAUGAUAGACUAUCGUACAGUCUGAUGGAUUUAGUAUCACCGAACUCUGAGUUGCUUAAUCUGAUCUAAUCUGAAAAACACCUUUCAGUCCAGUAUGUAGAGCGCUCAGUGAGGUCUGUUAAAGCAGCAUGGGUGACGCUUUAUGGAUCAGUUUUUAUAUUUAGUUUUUAGUUUUUGUUUUUUAUCUAUACUUUUGUAAUUUUUGUUUAAAAAUUUUUUUUUGGUUUAUUAUCUUCAGUUUUUAAUUUUAUUUAUUUAUUUUUUAUCUUUUAAUUGUUUAAUUUUUAUGGUUUAUCUUUAAAUUUAAAUUUUUUUAUUUUUUAUCUUGAAUUUGAUUUUUUAUCUUUAGUUUUUUUAUAUUUACUUUUUUUUUAGGUUUUAUCUACAUUUUUUUUAUUUUUGUUUUUGAUUUAUCAUUAGUUUUUUUUAUUUACUGUUUUUAUUUUUAAUUUUUUUUAUCUUUAGUGUUUUAUCUUUAGUUUUUAUUUUUUGUGUUUUUAUUCCAAAUUUACUACAUUAAUUUUGUUUAUCUUUAUCUUUUUUUAUAUUUAUUUUUUUUAUUUUUAGUUUGUUACCUUUAGUUCUAUAAUCUCAGUCUCUCUUAUGUCGUCAUAUUUCUGUCAGGUAUUGUUUAAUUAAAUUUAGGGUUGUCUACACUUUUUCUAUCAUUCCUCUUCCUCCCUCUUGUUAAUUUGUUAAUCCUUUCCUCUCUUUUUUUUCCAAAUCCUAACAGACUUGUUGUUUUUUUUUCUUUUUCUACCUUUUUCAUCUUUUUUUAUAUUUCCAUCGUCAUGUUUCUUCUCUGUGAGCUGGAGCGACCAGAAGGUGCUCAUUUGGUUUAUCUGCACACACACUAACACAUUUAAUGCAUGGCAGCAUGCUGCGCUGCAUGCCCCCAGGGUGUGUGUGUGUGUGUGUGUGUGUGUGUGUGUGUGUGAUGGAGAAUAGGAAGCGAGUCGUUGCCCUGCUGUUGAACCCUCUACGUUUCUGCCCUCCUCUUCCAUCUCUCUGUCGUUGCUGAUGUACGCCGCUCGUUGAACGGCGCCUGAAACCCUUCCUUCCUCUCAGAUCCAUUUCCAAACAUCAGAAUAAACUGGAGGAAUAAAGAGAAGUGCUUUUGUUGACUGUGUUUGGGUUCGUCUCUGCUGAUAAGACGUCUUCAUGUUCGUGUCUCAGCGAUAGAGAUCAGCGUGUCGAUAUGCAUCUGUUAAUGUUGACACGCUGCCAAUAAAGUUGGUUCAACGCCGACAUAACGCUCUUGUUUGUAUCUUAAACUAUGCAUCCAGACUUCUACGGUGGCCCUGAGGGGAGAAAAAACAACAACGCUUCAAAACUCAGUUGUGUACGUUUGGACUUAUCUGUGUCUGGAUGAGUUUGUCGGUAUCGACUCUGAACUCUGAACCAAUCAGGCGUCACGUACUUUACAACAAUUAAAGGGAAGUUCCGCUUUAAUCAGUCCCUCCAGGCGAAGACGGGUCAAAGUCGGUCUGUUGAUUAUUUAUACGUUUGUUUUGAGUUUUAAUAUAAAUCAGAUAUUUUUCAUUAUUCCUUAAAAAGCUUCAAAUCAAAAAGACACUAAACGUCUGUGAGCUGCGGCGAACAAUAACCUUAAACCAACGUGAGUUUCCUUUUGAUCCGCUCCAUACAACAGACGACGAGGCGACCUUUGACCCCACGCUGCAGAGGACUGAGUUUGACCCCAGACUGACCGCGCUGUGACCCCACAGGACAGGAAGUGAAGACGGCGUUCAUGUAGGUCUGAAUGUGUGUCUCUGUGAGGAGCAGGACGGAGAUCAGGGAGGACGGCGGCGGAGGUUAGGGCGUUAAGAUGGCCGACGGGGUCUAAGAUGGCUGCUGUGGAGGCGAAGGGGGCGCAGUGGGGACGUCUCAUAUCGUCUUUAUGUCGUUGCGUUUCUUUGCAUCUUCAGAGGGAGGGGUUAGGACGUAAAGACGGGAGGAAAGCGUGGGAAGCAGCUUCACAAACACACGUGAAUUUUCUGACUUUUACCUGCUGCGUCAGCUCGCCACGACGUCUGUCCGACUCUCCUCCUCCUCCUCCUCUUCCUCCUCUCAUUGUUUCUAACAGCAAAUAUCCACACUCUGAAAAAAGCAGCAGCUGCUCUCUCACUGACGCUCGGUCCUGAUUCUGUCGCUUCACAGUCAGGAUAUUAAAACCUCUGUGAGAAUUUUCAGACUAAAAUAAAUCAGCUCAUUAAUUUUUACUUUUAUUUGUCUUUAAACUAAAUUAAAACAUCCAGUUUUCAACUAAAGACGUGACAGUUUCUGUGUAAUCUGUGUCUUUAUUUUAUUUUAUUUCAUUGUAUUUAUUUAUUUAUCACAGAUUAAAAACAGAGCGAGGAGGAAAUGAAGCCGAUGGGAGUUUACAGAGGUCCACUCCCGUCAGGUCAGUGAAGGCGUAGGGUGACAAAGUAACUCAGACAUAGACGGGUUAUAAAUAUACAAUGAUUAGGGAAAGGUCAAACAGACACAAAUUUUCAUAAAUAAAACACAAACUAAUCAUCAAACAGCGUUAGAGACGAUCUAAGUAUUUAUAAAAAGGAAGGAAACAUGAUCAUAACAGAUAAUGACGUAUUUAAGACGUGAUCAGAUGAGAUUUUAAAGAUAUUUUUAAGGAUUUGAAGGAUGAUAUUGAUUUUAAAGAUGAAUCCAGAUUAUUCCACAGUUUCAGACCUCUAAAAGUGAAAUUAGACUGAUGACUAGAAGUUCGACAUGAAGGUAACUGAAGAUGGUCAUUUUGUCUUGUUUGUCGUUUUCUCCGUAAAUAAAAUCUAGGAUGAGUUCAUGGUUGUUUGUUUUUCUGCAGAGAAAGUCCGACAUGAUGCAAAGAUGUCUCUGAGUGAACACAGACGGUUUAAAACCAGCUCUGAUUCGAGGCGUGGGUCUGUCGGUCGUCUUUACGGUGAAACCCUCGAGUUUAAAUCUAGAUUACGUCCCUCUGAGCUCUAAUUUAAUCUGGAAUAAUCUCAUUUACCGAAAUCUGAUCCUAUUAUUUGAAAAAGUUGAUCAUAAGAUCAUCAAACAUGUUAAAUUUGUCUCCUCAGAUUGUGGAUUUAUCGUAUUAAAGAGCCGCGCCGUCCUCCUGACCCCGGACUGAACCUGCAGCCUGGGAGCCGACCUCAGGCUGAACCGGGCUGGGGUCAGAGGUCAGGGUUGAAGGCCGGGUCUGUGAGCCUGAUCAGAGGGUGCAGAGGUGAAGGCCGGGUCAGAGUCCUGAGGGGGAGAAGAUGAGUAUCCUGCUGGACAAACUGAGGUACUGCAGCUGAGAGGACGGAUCAGAGCGAAUAGAAGCUGCAGGGUCUGAGUUUCUAUAACAACAAUAAACAAACACAUGAUUGAUCAUUUAAUAUUGAUCAUAUUUACAUUAUUAACGUUUGUGUUCAGAGAAAAAAAUCAUCUUUGGUUCAGAACAAUAAUCUCACACUAAAGAUGAAAAAUGAUUUUAGUAAAACUGAAGAAUUAAAGAGUAAAAACAUGAUAAACUUAUUCAGUUUCUUUGUUGUAUAAAAGUCCCUCAAAGUUGUAAUAACACACAACAGCAUUAACACACACACACACACUCACACACACACACAAACUCAGAGCCGUCAGAGCGUCAGCCGAGGGAUCGAACGAUCAAAACAAGAGGAGGAGGAAGAGGACGACCCGCUUUACCUCAGAGUCAAAACCGAUCUGGAAUAAAGAUAAAAACCAACUUCUGCACAUGUUUGAAAUUUCCCCAAAUUUAUUCUUUAAAUUCUUUAAAUUCGAUCCUGUUAACCUUCAGGAGGAGUGCGUUCUCUCUCUGUUUGUCUUUAAAUAAUCUGAAGUUUAAACACAAACGUCUCUUUCUUGAAUAAAAACUGAACAGAUUUCUCUAAAAUCUCCACACGGCCGUAACGACAGUGGACUUUUAAUUCUUCAGACAUUUUUAAAUCCGAAUUUAAAGAAAGAAACAAAAAAGUGUUUGUUAUAGAAAGUAAGAAAAAGAGUUAAUGCACAAAUAUAUGAAAAGGAACAAUUAUAUAAUUAUUUUUAUUCACUCACUUUUUUAAACGUUUAUUAAAGUUCCUUAUUUGAUCUUUUAAAAAUUUGGUAAAACUGAUUUAAAGUUUGUAGUUUUUUUUAUAUUCUUACAUUAAAUGUUAAAAUACUGUUUCCUCAUAUCUUGUUUAAUUUUUUUCUAUAAAUCAUGUAAAAAUAACAGGAACACCAUAUAUGGUCAAGCUUUAAAGUAAAACAAAAUCUACUGUAUAUAAAACAAACAUUUUUAUAUUUAUAAAUAGGUUUAUAUAAGUAUACAUAAAAAUAAAAAUCAUGUUCUUAUGUACACAUAAAUAUAUGUAAAGAUAUAUAUUUAAGGAAUUGUUUUAUAUUCAAAAUAAAUAAAUUAUAUAAAUAAUUGACUUACAAAUUACAAUAGAAUAUGUAAAUAAAUAUAUAAUUAUAUAUUUAUAAAGAAUUAUAAAUAGGUGCAGAACAGCUAAAAUUGUACAGAGAUGACCUUUUUAUACAUAUUUUACAUUUAUCUACCGACCCUGGGUUUUCCCAGACCAGCUGAGAGACCAGGUCUAUCUAGCGUGUCCCGGGUCUUCCCCGUGGUCUCCUCCUGGUGGGACGUACCCUGAAUACCUCACCAGCGAGGCGUCAG
rnacentral:lncRNA from 1 species